rnacentral:rRNA from 1 species
CAUGUGGUUUAAUUCGAAGCAACGCGCAGAACCUUACCAACCCUUGACAUGGCGAUCGCGGCCCGAGAGAUCGGGCUUUCAGUUCGGCUGGAUCGCACACAGGUGCUGCAUGGCUGUCGUCAGCUCGUGUCGUGAGAUGUUCGGUUAAGUCCGGCAACGAGCGCAACCCACGCCUUUAGUUGCCAUCAUUCAGUCGGGCACUCUAAAGGAACUGCCGAUGAUAAGUCGGAGGAAGGUGUGGAUGACGUCAAGUCCUCAUGGCCCUUACGGGUUGGGCUACACACGUGCUACAAUGGCGGUGACAAUGGGCUAACCCCCAAAAGCCGUCUCAGUUCGGAUCGGGGUCUGCAACUCGACCCCGUGAAGUCGGAAUCGCUAGUAAUCGCGUAACAGCAUGACGCGGUGAAUACGUUCCCGGGC